AUUGAUCCAUUUAUAAAUUUUGAUAAUUAUAUCUGUUUAACGCCGUUAAUUUGGAUAAUUUAUUUAAUAAAUACAUACGAACUGUAAAUUAUUUAUACAUUGUUUUAUCUGAGAUUUGAAGAAGUUUUUACUUCGUUUUCGUGUUAUAUUAAGGUAUAUAGGACUUUUUUUUUCAGAGACAAGUGCCUGUGGCAUUUCACCAUUAUGUAGCUCCAUUAGGCCCCCGGCCCCAUAAAUCUGUUUCUCAAGUUUAAUUGAAAUAAUGUUGUAUCCAAUUGUCUCAGCCUGUAGCCAUCAGUUUCUUCAGUUUAUAUAGAAAUAAUGUUGUAUCCAAUUGUGUCCGCCUGUAGCCCCCUGUUUCCUAAGUUUAUAUAGAAAUAGCACUGUGUCAAGUUGUGUCCGCCUGUAGCCACCAGUUUCUUAAGUUUACGUAGAAAUAAUGUUGUAUCCAAUUGUGUCCGCCUGUAGCCACCAGUUUCUUAAGUUUACGUAGAAAUAAUGUUGUAUCCAAUUGUGUCCGCCUGUAGCCACCAGUUUCUUAAGUUUAUAUAGAAAUAAUGUUGUAUCCAAUUGCGUCCGCCUGUAGCCACCAGUUUCUUAAGUUUAUAUAGAAAUAAUGUUGUUUCCAAUUGUGUGCGCCUGUAACCACCUGUUUCUUAAGUUUAUAUAGAAAUAAUGUUGUAUCCAAUUGUGUCCGCCUGUAGCCACCAAUGUUUUACGUUUAUAUAGAUAUAAUGUUGUAUCCAAUUAUGUCCGCCUGUAGCCACCAGUUUCUUAAGUUUAUAUAGAAAUAAUGUUUUAUCCAUCUGUAGCCACCAGUUUCUUAAGUUUAUAUAGAAAUAAAGUUGUAUCCAAUUGUGUCAGUCUGUAGCCACCAGUUUCUUAAGUUUAUAUAGAAAUAAUGUUGUAUCCAAUUGCGUCCGCCUGUAGCCACCAGUUUCUUAAGUUUAUAUAGAAAUAAUGUUGUUUCCAAUUAUGUGCGCCUGUAGCCACCUGUUUCUUAAGUUUAUAUAGAAAUAAUGUUGUUUCCAAUUAUGUGCGCCUGUAGCCACCUGUUUCUUAAGUUUAUAUAGAAAUAAUGUUGUAUCCAAUUGUGUUCGCCUGUUGCCCCCUGUUUCUUAAGUUUAUAUAGAAAUAAUGUUGUAUUCUAUUGUUUCCGCCUGUAGCCACCAGUUUCUUAAGUUUAUAUAGAAAUAAUAUUGUAUCCAAUUGUGUGCGCCUGUAGCCCCUUGUUUCUUAAAUUUAUAUAGAAAUAAUGUUGUUUCCAAUUGUGUCCGCCUGUAGCCCCCUGUUUCUUAAGUUUAUAUAGAAAAAGCACAGUGUCAAGUUGUGUCCGCCUGUAGCCACCAGUUUCUAAAGUUUAUAUACAAAUAAUGUUGUAUCCGCCUGUAGCCACCAGUUUCUUAAGUUUAUAUAGAAAUAAUGUUGUAUCCAAUUGUGUCCACCUGUAGCUACCAGUUUCUUAAGUUUAUAUAGAAAUAAUGUUGUAUCCAAUUGUGUCAGCCUGUAGCCACCAGUUUCUUAAGUUUAUAUAGAAAUAAUGCUGUAUCCAAUUGUGUCCGCCUGUAGCCACAGGUUUCUUAAGUUUAUAUAGAAAUAAUGUUGUAUUCAAUUGUGUCAGCCUGUAGCCAUCAGUUUCUUCAGUUUAUAUAGAAAUAAUGUUGUAUCCAAUUGUGUCCGCCUGUAGCCCCCUGUUUCCUAAGUUUAUAUAGAAAUAACAUUGUGUCAAGUUGUGUCCGCCUGUAGCCCCCUGUUUCUUAAGUUUAUAUAGAAAUAAUGUUGUAUCCAAUUGUGUCCGCCUGUAGCCACUAGUUUCUUAAGUUUAUAUAGAAAUAAUGUUGUAUCCAAUUGUGUCCGCCUGUAGCCACUAGUUUCUUAAGUUUAUAUAGAAAUAAUGUUGUAUCCAAUAACAUGAAUAAAACAACGAAAUUUUGUCAAAAUCAUUUUAAGAAAACUCGGACCAGUUUUUAAGACAAUUGAAUAAAAAAAAAUGUUUGGACGUUUUUAUACUAAAAAUCUAUGUAUACCGUGAAAAAUUAUUUAUUAUUUAUUUGGCGAUCAAACGGGAGGCCGCGUCUUACGUCCUCUACGCCCCCUUUUUCCUUAGAAUCAACCACUGAGAAGCGUUCUUAAAUGGGCACAAUCAGUGUUUCACAUUGUUCCCAGGUGUCUUUGAAAUUGUUUAGAAUCGCCCUUAUAUGGGCCCAAUCAGUGUUUCAAACUGGUAAGAUCUUUCAAUCUAAGCCGAGUUUCUUUAAAACUGGUCCGAGUUUUCCUGAUCCGACUUGUCCCAAUCCCGUCAUUCAGUGUCUCGUUUUUACAAAGCUUCCUGUUCUCGGAAUUUAGACUGCUAUCGACAAACUACAAAUAAUUCUUUUUAACCAAGAAGACGUCAUGUCAAUGGCUUUAAAGGAUUGUUAUUGACCUGUGGCAGUUGAUAUUAACGCCAUGAAGACAUCGUUUAAAGAAGUUGCUAUUGAAGUUUGAUGAAGGACAGUUUGUAGUUAUUGAGUCAAUGACAGUUUUAUAACUAGAACCAACAGCUUUCAGUUUGGGAUAUAAUGGCAGAUUGGGAUGAGAAACUUUGGACAGCUGCUGAGGAGGGAAAUAUUAAAGAUGUGGAUUUAUCUUUACAGAAUGGAGCUAAUUUGGAAUACAAAAGUGGUAUUGGUGGAAUGACACCAUUAAUGUUUGCUGCCAGGGUAGGACACCUGGAGGUGGUCAGGUACCUAGUCACUCAGGGCAGUCAGUUAGAGAACACA